rnacentral:rRNA from 1 species
GUGGGGAAUAUUGGACAAUGGGCGCAAGCCUGAUCCAGCCAUGCCGCGUGCAGGAAGACGCAUCUAUGGUGUGUAAACUGCUUUUGUACGGGAAGAAACACUCCCUCGUGAGGGAGCUUGACGGUACCGUAAGAAUAAGGAUCGGCUAACUCCGUGCCAGCAGCCGCGGUAAUACGGAGGAUCCAAGCGUUAUCCGGAAUCAUUGGGUUUAAAGGGUCCGUAGACGGUUUAAUAAGUCAGUGGUGAAAGCCCAUCGCUCAACGAUGGAACGGCCAUUGAUACUGUUAGACUUGAAUUACAAGGAAGUAACUAGAAUAUGUAGUGUAGCGGUGAAAUGCUUAGAUAUUACAUGGAAUACCAAUUGCGAAGGCAGGUUACUACUUGUGGAUUGACGCUGAUGGACGAAAGCGUGGGGAGCGAACAGGAUUAGAUACCCGAGUAGUCC